CUUCCUUUCUCUUUUUUAAUUAAUAAUUGUUUUCAUAUUUCCUUAAGGAAAUACAAUUAUUAUUAAAAAAGAAAAGAAAGGAAGUUUAAUGCGGUGGAUUAAAGAAAGAGAAGAUAGAAAGCCAGACGCUGCAUUUCCAAGAAUUCUU
rnacentral:ribozyme from 11 species